AUGAUGACGGCCCGAGAUCUACAUGGUGACAACGGCUGUUGCGGCCUGAUGGAAGCGGCGGCAACCAAAUCCACCGUGGCGUGCCUCUGCUAUCACAACCAACGACCCACGCCAUGGAUCUGUGGCAGGGGCCUCCCUCCUCUGUCUCCCAGGCUGCGUAGCUGCCUCCCAUCCAGAGAUUUGGAGCAGCAAUCACCGGACAAGGAGAGGACGACGGCCGUGACCUGCGGGAGCCCUGACCUCGACCUCCCCAGCGACGUCGAUGCCCCACACAAGAUCAGCAGGACCUCCCUACCUCUCCGGUUCGUUGGACGUUGA
rnacentral:rRNA from 1 species